AUUGAACGCUGGCGGCAGGCCUAACACAUGCAAGUCGAACGGUAGCACAGAGGAGCUUGCUCCUUGGGUGACGAGUGGCGGACGGGUGAGUAAUGUCUGGGAAACUGCCUGAUGGAGGGGGAUAACUACUGGAAACGGUAGCUAAUACCGCAUAACGUCGCAAGACCAAAGAGGGGGACCUUCGGGCCUCUUGCCUUCAGAUGUGCCCAGAUGGGAUGAGCUAGUAGGUGAGGUAAUGGCUCACCUAGGCGACGAUCCCUAGCUGGUCUGAGAGGAUGACCAGCCACACUGGAACUGAGACACGGUCCAGACUCCUACGGGAGGCAGCAGUGGGGAAUAUUGCACAAUGGGCGCAAGCCUGAUGCAGCCAUGCCGCGUGUAUGAAGAAGGCCUUCGGGUUGUAAAGUACUUUCAGCGGGGAGGAAGGUGAUACGGUUAAUAACCGUGUCAAUUGACGUUACCCGCAGAAGAAGCACCGGCUAACUCCGUGCCAGCCGCCGCGGUAA
rnacentral:rRNA from 1 species